UACGUAGGGUGCAAGCGUUGUCCGGAAUUAUUGGGCGUAAAGAGCUCGUAGGCGGUCUGUCGCGUCGGCUGUGAAAACCCGGGGCUCAACUCCGGGCCUGCAGCCGAUACGGGCAGACUAGAGUUCGGCAGGGGAGACUGGAAUUCCUGGUGUAGCGGUGAAAUGCGCAGAUAUCAGGAGGAACACCGGUGGCGAAGGCGGGAUCCUGGGCCAGUACUGACGCUGAGGAGCGAAAGCGUGGGGAGCAAACAGG
rnacentral:rRNA from 1 species